rnacentral:pre_miRNA from 1 species
AAAAAGACAAACCCUGGCUUCCGUGCCAACAUUUGACCGUCCGUCUUAUUUGAAAAUUUUUUGAAAAAAUUAAAAAGACAAGUCACGCAUAAAAUAUUAAUCAUGUUUUAUCAUCUAACAACAAUGAAAAUACGAAUUAUAAAAAAAUUUCAUAUAAAACGGACAGUCAAAGUUGGACACGUAAACCCAGGGUUUGUCUUUUU